rnacentral:rRNA from 1 species
GAUUUUUUUUUCUCAUGCUCAGGACGAACGCUGGCGGCGUGCCUAAUACAUGCAAGUCGAGCGGACAGAUGGGAGCUUGCUCCCUGAUGUUAGCGGCGGACGGGUGAGUAACACGUGGGUAACCUGCCUGUAAGACUGGGAUAACUCCGGGAAACCGGGGCUAAUACCGGAUGGUUGUUUGAACCGCAUGGUUCAAACAUAAAAGGUGGCUUCGGCUACCACUUACAGAUGGACCCGCGGCGCAUUAGCUAGUUGGUGAGGUAAUGGCUCACCAAGGCAACGAUGCGUAGCCGACCUGAGAGGGUGAUCGGCCACACUGGGACUGAGACACGGCCCAGACUCCUACGGGAGGCAGCAGUAGGGAAUCUUCCGCAAUGGACGAAAGUCUGACGGAGCAACGCCGCGUGAGUGAUGAAGGUUUUCGGAUCGUAAAGCUCUGUUGUUAGGGAAGAACAAGUACCGUUCGAAUAGGGCGGUACCUUGACGGUACCUAACCAGAAAGCCACGGCUAACUACGUGCCAGCAGCCGCGGUAAUACGUAGGUGGCAAGCGUUGUCCGGAAUUAUUGGGCGUAAAGGGCUCGCAGGCGGUUUCUUAAGUCUGAUGUGAAAGCCCCCGGCUCAACCGGGGAGGGUCAUUGGAAACUGGGGAACUUGAGUGCAGAAGAGGAGAGUGGAAUUCCACGUGUAGCGGUGAAAUGCGUAGAGAUGUGGAGGAACACCAGUGGCGAAGGCGACUCUCUGGUCUGUAACUGACGCUGAGGAGCGAAAGCGGACGG